ACUGGCCCUUUUCUGGGCUCGCUAUUUUAUUCCUUUAUUCUGAAGGACUAGAAAUGGCUGUGCUCUUCCCUUCAGCUUAUUCCGUUGGUAAAUGGGGAAGUUGUAGAUUGAUUGAUUAUAAAUUCGACAGUACGAAAAUAAAGGAGAGAAAAAUUCGAUUUCACAGCUCCCGUUUCGUUACAAUUGCAAUGUGUGCGUGUAAUUCUUCUUCAAAGUCCCUGAGAAAGAAAGUGUGGAUAUGGACGGAGAACAAGCAGGUGAUGACGGCGGCCGUGGAGAGGGGUUGGAACACUUUCAUCUUCUCCAAUUAUUGCCGUGACCUUGCUGUUGAGUGGUCCUCUAUUGCAUUGAUACAUCCUCUCUUCAUUGAAGAAGGAAACUUAAUUGACGGUGAGCAGAGAAAAGUUGCUAAUUUCUUUGAGAUCUCUUCGCCCCAGCAAUUAGAGAAGCUCCAGCCAUUGAAAGAGGAAGCAGAAAAUGUUGUCGUCGAUCUCUUGGGUUGGCAGGUGAUACCUGCAGAGAAUAUUGUUGCAGCGAUUCAAGGCACUCAGAAAACAGUCUUUGCCAUCUCAAAGACAUCAUCUGAAGCACAGAUUUUUCUUGAGGCCUUGGAGCACGGUCUAGGCGGUGUGGUUCUGAAAACAGAAGAUAUAAAAUCCCUCCUUGAGCUGAAGGAUUAUCUAGACAGAAGAAAUGAAGAGUGCAGUCUUUUGAAAUUGACAACAGCCACGGUAACUAAUAUUCAAAUGGCUGGAAUGGGUGACCGUGCCUGUGUUGAUCUCUGCAGCCUUCUGAGACCCGGUGAAGGACUUCUGGUCGGAUCCUUUGCAAGAGGGCUCUUCCUUGUUCAUUCAGAAUGCUUAGAGUCAAAUUACAUUUCUAGCAGGCCUUUUCGAGUCAAUGCGGUGAGCUUUGGCUUUAUGAAGUUAAGCAGACAACUUCAAGACUACAAAGAACUGUUAAUAUCUGUUUUAAAAAUAAGGGACCAGUUCAUGCCUAUGUUUCAGUUCCAGGAGGGAAGACUAGCUACCUUUCAGAGUUAAAAGCAGGGAAAGAGGUGAUUGUUGUUGAUCAAAACGGCAUGCAGCGAACAGCUAUUAUUGGACGUGUAAAAAUCGAGACUAGACCAUUAAUUCUCGUGGAGGCCAAGAUAGAUUUGGAUAACCGUACUACUUACAGCAUUCUUCUGCAAAAUGCUGAAACGGUUGCUCUAGUUUCCUCUGGUAAAGCAGGUGGACAUCAACAAACAGCAAUUCCUGUAACCUCACUCAAGAUAGGUGAUGAAAUUUUGAUGAGAUUACAGGGAGGCGCUCGCCAUACCGGGAUAGAAAUAGAAGAAUUCAUUGUGGAGAAAUGACUCUUGUGGAGGAAUAUUUGUAUACUGAUUUGUAGAAUCAAUUGUAUAAUGCGUGAGUUACCACCAGAUUUCGACUAGAAAUUGAACCUGAUGAUAGGUCCACUGCAUUGUGAUGUUUAUGACUCGGAUGAUUUUUUUCUGUGGAUCAACUGUGUAUUGAAUAAGGUAAUCUGAAUGCACGCGAGUAUCACAUAUGAGAUGAUUUUUCAAA